rnacentral:rRNA from 1 species
GAUGAACGCUGGCGGCGUGCCUAACACAUGCCAGUCGAGCGAUUUACUUCGGUAAAGAGCGGCGGACGGGUGAGUAACGCGUGGGUAACCUGCCCUGUACACACGGAUAACAUACCGAAAGGUAUGCUAAUACGAGAUAAUAUGCUUUUAUCGCAUGGUAGAAGUAUCAAAGCUUUUGCGGUACAGGAUGGACCCGCGUCUGAUUAGCUAGUUGGUGAGGUAACGGCUCACCAAGGCGACGAUCAGUAGCCGACCUGAGAGGGUGAUCGGCCACAUUGGAACUGGGACACGGUCCAAACUCCUACGGGAGGCAGCAGUGGGGAAUAUUGCACAAUGGGCGAAAGCCUGAUGCAGCAACGCCGCGUGAGCGAUGAAGGCCUUCGGGUCGUAAAGCUCUGUCCUCAAGGAAGAUAAUGACGGUACUUGAGGAGGAAGCCCCGGCUAACUACGUG